UUGAUGACAUACUAAAAAAACUUGUUAA
rnacentral:sRNA from 1 species